GAUUAACGCUGGCGGCAUGCCUUAUGCAUGCAAGUAGAACGGUGAAAGCGGAGCUUGCUCCGCUGGAUCAGUGGCGAACGGGUGAGUAACACGUGGGCAACCUGCCCCUGACUUCGGGAUAACUCCUCGAAAGAGGUGCUAAUACCGGAUACGAAUCCUGCAGGCAUCUGCGGGAUUGGAAAGUUUUUCGGUCAGGGAUGGGCCCGCGGCCUAUCAGCUUGUUGGUGAGGUAGUGGCUCACCAAGGCGACGACGGGUAGCCGGCCUGAGAGGGCGACCGGCCACACUGGGACUGAGACACGGCCCAGACUCCGACGGGAGGCAGCAGUGGGGAAUAUUGCGCAAUGGGCGAAAGCCUGACGCAGCAACGCCGCGUGAGGGAUGACGGCCUUCGGGUUGUAAACCUCUUUCAGCAGGGAAGAAGCGAAAGUGACGGUACCUGCAGAAGAAGCACCGGCUAACUACGUGCCAGCAGCCGCCGCGG
rnacentral:rRNA from 1 species